rnacentral:piRNA from 1 species
ACUACUGUUUUGGGCAAAUGCUGUA